UCGGGGUAAAAUCCAUCAAGCAUCUUUGUAACACAGCAGGGAGGCAUUAUACAGGAGGGAAUAUUUCCUCACUUGCAUCUUUGUUACAGAGCAGGGAGGCAUUAUACAGGAGGUGCUAAUUUCUCACUAGCUCCGCUUUGUGAGGGAUUGCUCAAUCUGACGUGAGGCGCCGCUCUUUGCCUUACCCCGCUUGUCUCCUCUGCUCAGGUCACGAGCAAAUUCAGCUAUUUUGGUUAUAAAAUUAUUUAAGAUCAUUGGAAUCAUACAAAAAUUACAUUUAUAGCACAGAUAAGUAGAACAUAUUAAUAUCUGGGUUUUUUUCAUUAUAUAAUUUAACAUAUGUGUUGUGUUUUUAUUAUCUUAAUUUCUAAUGGACCAAUGAUAAUUCGUGAAUACACUAUGCCCGCGAAAUCGCGGAGCGAGCUGUCAGUUGAAGUCUAUCACAAAUGGAUGGUGAACGUACUUGUCCUCCGCUGAAAAAGCGGCGAAUUUCUGAACAGCGCUUCAAGCUAGAAUAUAACGCAGAAUGGCCGACCAUCACCCGGUCGAAGCUGGACGACUUCCACGCUUACUGUAUGUUGUGUAAGACAGAUUUUAGCGUGAGGCAUGGGGGCUGACACAACGUUGAAAAGCACAUCAGGACUGCUAAACACACGUCAUACAAGGCGGCAGUGGAAGCUACAAGGCCCAUCGCGGGCUUCUUUACGGUUGACAGUGACACCAGUGUCAUAAAUGCCGAAGUGCUCGCUGUGGACUUUCUGGUGGAACACAACAUCCCGAUCGCGGUGGCCGACCACAUCGGGCCACUGGUGAAAAAGAUGUUUCCGGACUCGAAAAUCGCUGGAAAGUAUGGGUCUGGUCGCACAAAGAGCAGCGCCAUUGUUGGAGCUCUUGCCAAGGAGGAUGCGUCUGUGAUCACGGAGGCAAUGAGGACAGCUCCAUACUCCCUAGCCACGGAUGGGAGCACUGACUAUGGAGACUAGUGUCAUGAGGCAUCUACUGGGCAGAACAUAUUCAAACUCAUUGACAAUGAACUUGAGAAACGUAGCAUAUCCUGGGACAACUGCAUGAGUUUUGGGGCAGAUAAUGCCAUGGUGAUGCAGGGACUCAAAGCUGGCACGGCAGGCUACAUCAACAAAAAAAACAGUGCAGUAUAUGUGCUGGGAUGCCCGUGCCAUCUAAUUCAUCUAGCUGCAGAAAAAGCUGCUGCUCAGCUUCCAGUGUCCAUUGAAGAGCUGCUGGUGGACAUAUACUUCUACCUAGACAAAUCCAGCAAGAGGAAACAGGGACUGAAGAAAUUUCAGGAUCUGUGUGGAGUGGAAAUGAGAAAGAUUGUUAAACAUGUAAGUACGAGGUGGCUCUCUUUAGAUAAAUGCAUCGCCAGGUUGUUGCAGCAGUGGCCUGCAUUGCUGCAAUACUUUGAGUCAGAACAGUCUGGGCACAGCAGCAAGGACAAGACCACGCAGAGCAGCAGCAAG